ensembl:lncRNA
GCAGACAGGAAGUUUGGAUGUACACAUGCAGCCUAUUCUUGUUCCCCCACCCAAAACCCCAGCGCCCAAAGCCUGAAACUGGGGGAAGGGAGGCAGAAGGAGAGGAGGGUUUGGGUUGGGGGGAAUUUUAAACUGACUCCGAGUCUGGCCGCCUUGGUUCCCUCGGAGAUUGGAAACCUUUUUCUUCCCUCGAGUGUUUCACCCCCACCGGCUGCAAAGGGCCUUGUCCCUUGAGAAAUGAGAAAUCAAAUCCAGAGAAAAGCAGACACCUGCCCCGGAAGGGGGAGGGGGCGAGCUUUUCAGCAUCCGGACGCGGCCCUUCCCGGCGGCUGGAUCCAUCCAUCUGUGGGAGCUCCGAGUUGUCCCAGCCGAGCGGUUGGGGAGGAGGACAGCCGGCGGCCGGGGGUAGCGGGGCGGGGGGUGGGGGGGUGGGGUGGGGGUGGAGGUGAUGAAAAGAGGCGCGGCGGGUUGGGCCAGGACGUGGCUGGCGAGUGGCCCGUGCGCUCCCAAAGCCCCAGGAGAACCAGGCGCCCAGCGCUGGGGACACGGAGGCGCUGCUGAGGGAGGCGGUCCUGCCCUCCACCCAGCCCCUUCACUCCCGGUCGAGCAGCCGCGGGCGCCAGCGGCCGAGUCUGCGCGCUUCCAGGCUUGGACUUUUUCAUUUUUUCCUAGCCGGGCAAAGUUACGGGAUUCCUAGCAGCCCCCAGGCGCGCGGCCAGAGUGGCUCCGCGCUUGCGCGAGAACCCAGCGCCAGAAGGGCACGUGGAAAUUCUCCGCCAAAGCGCCUUGCCCGGGCGAGUGCUCAACUCGGUGAUUUAUAAACAGCUCAGCCACUCCCCAAAGACCUCCGCUCCUCGUUAGUCAUGAUGAAUUCUCCGGCCCGUUCCACUUUGCUGUCUAGAUUAAGAUGCUCGGAGGCCCCAAAGUGCUCCCCUUGAGCGUUGAUUUGGCUUCCCUCACAAACUCACGAUCGCCGGCAACGCCAGCACUAAAGGCAACGACGGAGGGUCGGAGGGCGGAGGGUGAGAGUAUUCGCGCGGUACACUCGAGCGUGCGUGGUUGCUCCGCUGCUACAGCACCGGCCUGCGCCGGAUCCUCCUACCCUUGCUAGCAGGCUCCGAAAGCGGCGGCAGGCACCUGCUCCGGGUGGCUGCGGCGCUGACGGCGCGACGCGCUCGUGCUGGGUAGAACCG